rnacentral:tRNA from 1 species
UUAAAUACACUGGUCUUGUAAACCAGAAAAGGAGAACAACCAACCUCCCCAAGACU